GUUGAACGCUGGCGGCAUGCCUUACACAUGCAAGUCGAACGGUAACAGGUCUUUCGGGAUGCUGACGAGUGGCGAACGGGUGAGUAAUACAUUGGAACGUGCCUAGUAGUGGGGGAUAACUACUCGAAAGAGUGGCUAAUACCGCAUGAGAUCUAUGGAUGAAAGCAGGGGACCUUCGGGCCUUGUGCUACUAGAGCGGCCGAUGGCAGAUUAGGUAGUUGGUGGGAUAAAAGCUUACCAAGCCUGCGAUCUGUAGCUGGUCUGAGAGGACGAUCAGCCACACUGGGACUGAGACACGGCCCAGACUCCUACGGGAGGCAGCAGUGGGGAAUUUUGGACAAUGGGGGAAACCCUGAUCCAGCAAUGCCGCGUGCAGGAUGAAGGCCUUCGGGUUGUAAACUGCUUUUGUACGGAACGAAAAGACUCUGGUUAAUACCUGGGGUCCAUGACGGUACCGUAAGAAUAAGCACCGGCUAACUACGUGCCAGCCGCCGCCGUAACAC
rnacentral:rRNA from 1 species